ensembl:snRNA U6 U6 spliceosomal RNA
GUGCUCACUUCGGUAGCACAUAUACUAAAAUUAGAAUGAUACAGAGAAGAUUAGCGUGGCCCCUGCACAAGGAUGACAUGCAAAUUCGUGAAGUGUUCCAUAUUUUU